rnacentral:rRNA from 1 species
UACGUAGGGUGCGAGCGUUGUCCGGAAUUACUGGGCGUAAAGAGCUCGUAGGUGGUUUGUCGCGUUGUUCGUGAAAACCGGGGGCUUAACCCUCGGCGUGCGGGCGAUACGGGCAGACUUGAGUACUGCAGGGGAGACUGGAAUUCCCGGUGUAGCGGUGAAAUGCGCAGAUAUCAGGAGGAACACCGGUGGCGAAGGCGGGUCUCUGGGCCGAUACUGACGCUGAGGAGCGAAAGCGUGGGGAGCGAACAGG